rnacentral:rRNA from 1 species
GAUUUCUGGCUUGAAACAUUUUGCCGGCCACGGUUUCGUGUGUUAGUGCUUGAUGUUCUGGCCAUCCUUCCAAUCGCUGUGUAUCUUUCUUCAUUGAUUGGUGCAUGGUAUUGGAUCUUUUACUUUGAAAAAAUUAGAGUGUUUCAAGCAGGCUUUAUGCUAUGAAUACAUUAGCAUGGAAUAAUAAUUUAGGACUUCGGUUCUAUUUUGUUGGUUUCUAGGACUGAAGUAAUGAUUGAUAGGGAUAGUUGGGGGUGCUAGUAUUCAGCGGCCAGAGGUGAAAUUCUCGGAUUCGCUGAAGACUAACUUAUGCGAAAGCAUU